rnacentral:lncRNA from 1 species
UCUUUUGCUUUCCUACAAAGUUUAAUACUGCUGCUGACAACUCAGGCCUUGUGACCUUGCUGACUGAGAGGACCAAUCAUGUUCCAGCCUUCUGGCCAACACUCAACUAUCUGUCAUGAUGGAAGAAAGGGGAGCUGGAUCAAGGAUAAUGAGCUUUGGACUCUACAGAAGAGGCUGUGGGACUUCCCUUCCAGUGUGCCACUUAUCUGGCAAGUCCGAGUGACCAACACAAGGAAGGGCUCCACCUUUUCAGAGUGUAGUUUGGUCAACAUAUGGAUUUGUGAGCUUGGAAAAAUACAAGUACCACUCACUGCAAAGUCCUGCUGUUCACAGGGAUUCCUCAGAUAUUUUUUGUACUUGUAAAGAAACUUCAUAUUUAUAGUAGAAACCAAUAGAAGUUCAUUACUUGGGUGACUUGGGUGGGCAAUUAUACUAAAACGUUAGCUUGUUAUCUAUAAUCUAAAUCAUAGCAGAUGUUGAGACAAUAUUAUAUCAACAUAUUAACAAAUGAUACAAUCUAGAAUCACCCAAGAAGAGGGUCUCAAUGAGAGAUUGUGCCCAGGUGUCCUGUGACCAUGUAUGUGGGGAUUCAACUUGAUUACAUUAAUUGAAGUUGGAAGGUUUUCUUAUCGUGGGUUCUAGACUAAGGUUUUGCAUGAAGAUUUGAGCAAGAAGAAGAGUUCCAAGAAGAGAUGUGUAUCCCUAAUUUUUUUGAAUGCUUGGACAACAUGGAGAAGUCACACCAGGCUCAUGAAGAACUCGAUUUUUCUGGGCAUGGGUCAUGGACAGCAGUGUAAGAGUAGAGAAAGCAAUGAGUGCAGGUUUGCCCACUUUUAUUUCCCCUCAGCUCUGAAUUAGCUAUGUCUACUGAGCAACUAUGUAAUGAUGUGGCUGGCUGCUUUAAAUUCCUGCCUAGACUCUCCCCCGUGAUGGACUGUCACCUGGAACUGUGAGGCCAACCAAGACUUUCUUUCUCAAAGUUGGUUUUGUUAGGGUACUUUAGCAAUGCUAUCUGGAAAUGAAAUGAAAACAACUACUAUGUAAGAUAUUAGUAAUGUCAAUUAACCAUUACAAAAGCUUUGAAAUUGUUACUAUCACUAUGCUCAUUUUA